rnacentral:rRNA from 1 species
CAGUAGCCGCGGUAAUACGUAGGUGGCAAGCGUUGUCCGGAAUUACUGGGCGUAAAGCGUGCGUAGGUGGUGGUUUAAGUCCGUUGUGAAAGCCCUGGGCUCAACCUGGGAAUUGCAGUGGAUACUGGGUCACUAGAGUGUGGUAGAGGAUAGUGGAAUUUCCGGUGUAGCAGUGAAAUGCGUAGAGAUCGGAAGGAACAUCUGUGGCGAAGGCGACUAUCUGGGCCAACACUGACACUGAGGCACGAAAGCGUGGGGAGCAAACAGGAUUAGAUACCCCGGUAGUCCCUGUCUCUUAUAC